ensembl:snRNA U7 U7 small nuclear RNA
CAGCAUUACAGCUCUUUUUGAAUUUGUCUAUCAGGUUUUCUGGUUUGUACCGGAAAGCACCA